rnacentral:misc_RNA from 1 species
GAAAUGCGAUAAGUAGUGUGAAUUGCAGAAUUCUGUGAAUCAUCGAAUCUUUGAACGCACAUUGCGCCCCUUGGUAUUCCAUGGGGCAUGCCUGUUCGAGCGUCAUUUGUACCCUCAAGCUCUGCUUGGUGUUGGGUGUUUGUCCCGUCUCCGCGCGUGGACUCGCCCCAAAGUGAUUGGCAGCCGGCGUACUGGUCCCGGAGCGCAGCACAUGUCGCGCAAACGAGUGCCUUGGUACGGCGGCGUCCAUAAGCCCCUCUCUCACGCUCUUGACCUCGGAUCAGGUAGGGAUACCCGCUGAACUUAAGC